UGCGUAGGCGGCGGCAUAAGUCAGAAGUGAAAGUUGGCAGCUUAACUGCAAAAUUGCUUUUGAUACUGUAUUGCUUGAAUCACGUUGAGGCUGGCGGAAUGUGGCAUGUAGCGGUGAAAUGCUUAGAUAUGCCAUAGAACACCAAUUGCGAAGGCAGCUGGCUAGACGUGUAUUGACGCUGAGGCACGAAAGCGUGGGGAGCGAACAGGAUUAGAUACCCUGGUAGUCC
rnacentral:rRNA from 1 species